UUUCGCUCUCUCUCAUCUUCAUGCUUUCUCUCGCUUCCUCCAAAUUAUCUGUGAUCUGAUGCGAUUUUCUUGGGUUCGCUCACGAUUUCUUUGCUUUUGUUAAUCAAAUUCUAGCGUGUUUCUGUUAAGGUUCCAGCAUUAUGUUUGUGAAACCAAAACGACUGGCAAUGCGGAUCACAUAGCACACAGCAAGUGCUUCUGCCAUCUCAAAGUUGGCAGCCCUUGUUCUCUUUGCUGCACACAUAAGAAGGUUGCCAUUAAAGUCUCGUAACACCAAACUAAGCAUCAGUGUUCACUUUUGUGACCCCUACAGGCGGGCAUGACCACUUGCUCAAGACUGAGAUUGCUGAGGUUGCAGGUAUACAAUUGCCGAGGUUGCAGUUAUAUGUUUUAUUAGAUUUCUUCUUUUUUUUGUUUACUUUUGAUAUAGUUUUAUUUACUUUUAAUUUGAAAACCUCUACUUCAAACUCAAUAUACUUAUGUCAAACAAAAAAAAAAAUUGACUCAUCUUGUAAGGAUAUGAAAGUCAAUGAUUCGGAGUUUUUGUGCUAUAACAAAGUUUAGUUACUCA